UGAGGAAUAUUGGACAAUGGGCGCAAGCCUGAUCCAGCCAUGCCGCGUGAGUGAUGAAGGCCCUAGGGUUGUAAAACUCUUUUAGUGGAGAAAAUAAUGAUGGUAUCCACAGAAAAAGCUCCGGCUAACUUCGUGCCAGCAGCCGCGGUAAUACGAAGGGAGCUAGCGUUACUCGGAAUCACUGGGCGUAAAGCGUAUGUAGGCGGAAAUUCAAGUCAGAGGUGAAAUCCCCAGGCUCAACCUGGGAAUUGCCUUUGAAACUGUAUUUCUUGAGUAUGGUAGAGGAUGGUGGAAUUUUCAGUGUAGAGGUGAAAUUCGUAGAUAUUGAAAAGAACACCGGUGGCGAAGGCGACCAUCUGGGCCAUUACUGACGCUGAGAUACGAAAGCGUGGGGAGCAAA
rnacentral:rRNA from 1 species